CCCAUGUCUUUUGCGCACUUGUUGUUUCCUGGGCGGGUUCGCCCGCCACCANGGACCAAACCAUAAACCUUUUUUUCUUAUGCAGUUUCCAUCAGCGUCAGUAAAAACAAUGUAAUUAUUACAACUUUCAACAACGGAUCUCUUGGUUCUGGCAUCGAUGAAGAACGCAGCGAAAUGCGAUACGUAGUGUGAAUUGCAGAAUUCAGUGAAUCAUCGAAUCUUUGAACGCACAUUGCGCCCUUUGGUAUUCCAAAGGGCAUGCCUGUUCGAGCGUCAUUUGUACCUUCAAGCUUUGCUUGGUGUUGGGCGUUUUUUUGUCUCCCUCUUUCUGGGAGACUCGCCUUAAAACGAUUGGCAGCCGGCCUACUGGUUUCGGAGCGCAGCACAUUUUUUGCGCUUUGUAUCAGGAGAAAAGGACGGUACUCCAUCAAGACUCUACAUUUUUCACUUUUGACCUCGGAUCAGGUAGGGAUACCCGCUGAACUUAAGCAUA
rnacentral:rRNA from 1 species